CUCUUCUCUGAAUUCUUCAGCCAUAUCGAGAUUCGAACCUGUGACUUAAGGUUCAAACCCUAGAAUUAAAUACCUCUUAUAGCUUCGUUCAACGAAUCGGCAUCAAAUAUGGACAUACAUGUUCGAAUUCAAAAUUUAUGAAGAGGUGAAGAGGCAAAACGAAGGAUCAAAAAAUAGCAACCAAAUGAGAUCAAAUUCCCUCUUCCAGUUUGAUCUACAUUGGUGGCUAUUAUUGAAUUCUUGCCAAGAAAACAUAAGGGAGCUAUUGGGUCGCUUGAUUACAGUAAGGAAGAAAGGAGUGCUCUUGCCAUUAAGUCCCGAGUUCAUCCAUCAAAGUUUGGAAAUUCAGACCGUCAGAAACUAAUGAGGGUGCCCAUUGCGUGUGGCAUUUUCCCAGCUUUUGCAUGCUUGAUACUCAAGGGUUUCCAUUGCGUGUGGCAU